GUGGGUGUAGCUCAGCUGGUAGAGCACCUGGUUGUGGUCUAGGAAGUCGCGGGUUCAAGUCCCGUCACUCACCCCA
rnacentral:tRNA from 1 species